GACGAACGCUGGCGGCGUGCUUAACACAUGCAAGUCGAACGAUGAAACCUAGCUUGCUAGGUCGAUUAGUGGCGAACGGGUGAGUAACACGUGACUAACCUGCCCCUUUCUCUGGGAUAACGCUCCGAAAGGAGUGCUAAUACCGGAUACUCACAUCGAGGCACAUGCCUUGAUGUGGAAAGUUUUUCGGAAAGGGAUGGAGUCGCGGCCUAUCAGCUUGUUGGUGAGGUAAAGGCUCACCACGGCGACGACGGGUAGCCGGCCUGAGAGGGGGCACGGGCACACUGGGACUGAGACACGGCCCAGACUCCUACGGGAGGCAGCAGUGGGGAAUAUUGCACAAUGGGCGCAAGCCUGAUGCAGCGACGCCGCGUGAGGGAUGAAGGUCUUCGGAUUGUAAACCUCUUUCAGUAGGGACGAAGCGAAAGUGACGGUACCUAAAGAAGAAGCACCGGCUAACUACGUGCCAGCCGCCGCGGUAA
rnacentral:rRNA from 1 species